GGCGGUUUGGCCGAGUGGUCUAAGGCGAUUGACUAGAACGUUCUUGAGAUCAAGUUAAAUCUUGAAAUCAAGUAUCCUUAAUCAAUUCCGUUCGCGGGCGCAUGUUCGAAUCAUGCAGCCGUCG
rnacentral:tRNA from 4 species